CCUGGGGGACACCUGGGUGACACCUGUGUCACCUGUGUGUCACCUGUGUGCCCCCAAACCCCACCCCAAACCCGCCCGCGCCACCACGGUGAGUGGCACACCUGGGGGACACCUGGGUGACGUCACCUGUGUGACACCUGGGUGUCCCCAAACCCCACCCCAGACCCGCCCGCGCCACCACGGUGCGCCUCAGGUGUGGCCGGGACACGGCGCUGACGGCGGCCACGGAGCCGAGCCGCUGCGAGUACCUGCUGGAGCUGCAGACACCGGCGGCCUGCCGGGAGCCGCCGGCGGGGCACGAGGAGCACGACGAGCUCUGAGCCCCAAAAUUAUCCAAAAUCAUCCCAAAAUAUCCUGAAAUUAUCCCAAAAUAUCCCAAAAUAUCCCGAAAUUAUCCCAAAAUAUCCCGAAAUUAUCCCAAAAUUAUCCCAAAACCCUGCCGGGAGCCGCCGGCGGGGCACGAGGAGCACGACGAGCUCUGAGCCCCAAAAUUAUCCCAAAAAUAUCCCAAAAUGUCCUGAAAUUAUCCCAAAAUAUCCCAAAAUUAUCCCAAAAUUAUCCCAAAACCCUGCCGGGAGCCACCGGCGGGGCACGAGGAGCACGACGAGCUCUGAGCCCCAAAAUUAUCCAAAAUCACCCCAAAAAUAUCCCAAAAUAUCCCGAAAUUAUCCCAAAAUAUCCCGAAAUUAUCCCGAAAUAUCCCGAAAUUAUCCCAAAGUUAUCCCCAAAACCCUGCCGGGAGCCGCCGGCGGGGCACGAGGAGCACGACGAGCUCUGAGCCCCAAAUAUCCCGAAAUUAUCCCAAAAUAUCCCGAAAUUAUCCCAAAAUAUCCCGAAAUUAUCCCAAAAUAUCCCAAAAUAUCCCGAAAUUAUCCCAAAAUAUCCCGAAAUUAUCCCAAAAUAUCCCGAAAUUAUCCCAAAGUUAUCCCAAAGUUAUCCCCAAAACCCUGCCGGGAGCCGCCGGCGGGGCACGAGGAGCACGACGAGCUCUGAGCCCCAAAAUUAUCCCAAAACUGCCCCAAAAUCACCCCAAAAAUAGCCCCCAAAGAGCCAAAAAUUAUCCCAAAAAUAGCCCCGAAAUAUCCUGAAAUGAUCCCAAAACCAGCCCUGAAAUAGCUGUGAAAACAGCCCAAAAAUAUCCCAAAACCAUCCCAAAAAUCACCCCAAAAAUAGCCCAGAAAUAAUCACUAAACAUCCCAAAAAUAUCCCAGAAUUAUCCCCAAAAUAGCCCUGAAAAUUGCCCAAAAUUAUCCCAAAAUAUCCUCAAAAUAUCACAAAACUGUGCCCAAAAUAGACCAAAAAUAGCCCAAAACUGUCCUGAAAUUAUCCCCAAAAUACCCCCAAAAUAUCCCCAAAUUAUGCCCAAAAUAUUCCCAAAAGAGCCCUAAAAAUAACCCAAAAAUAUCCCUGAAAAUCCCCAAAAUAUCCCAAAAUUCCCCCCCCAAAAAUCCCCGAAAAUCCCCCAAAACCACCCCAAAAACUGCCCCAGAGGAACAUUCCAACCCCCCAAAAUCCCCCCAAAAACCCCAAAUCCCUCCUGAAAAAAAAAUCCCAAAUCCCCCUCGUGCCUCAGUUUCCCCGGGGGGAGGGGCUUCCCUGCCUCAGUUUCCCUUUUCCUGGGAUCCCAAAUUUGGGGAUUUUUUUGGGGGCGUUUUUCCAACAUUCCGAGGGCUCCCUGCCUCAGUUUCCCUUCUCUGUUGGAGCCUGACUUUGGGAAUUUUGAGGGAGGGGAGGGGGGUGUUCCCUGCCUCAGUUUCCCUCUCAUCCCCAACUCCCAGAUCCUGGAAUUUCGAGAUGGGGAGCGGCCCAAAAUCCCAAAAAAAAAAAAAAAAAAAAGGGGGGGGGGAAGGGGAAAAA